AGAACUGACAAAUGGUCAUGGCGACGGUGUCGCGAACGGAGCGGUCUUCACUUAGCACCCUCGGCGAGCAGAGCCCAGAGCAACCGGAGGUCCCGGCUCGUCUACUGUGAUGUCAUCUUCUUGCGCCUGGCAAAGUUGGCUUAAACUCAACAUUCAAACAACUAAGAUCAUGGCAUCUGGUCCCAUCACUUCAUGGCAAAUAGAUGGGGAAACAAUGGAAACAGUGACAGACUUUAUUUUGGGGGGCUCCAAAAUCACUGCAGAUGGUGACUAUAGCCAUGAAAUUAAAAGACGCUUCCUCCUUGGAAGAAAAGUUAUGACCAACCUAGACAGCAUAUUCAAAAGUAGAGAUAUUAAUUUGCUGACAAAGAUCUGUCUUAGUCAAAGCUAUGGUUUUUCCAUUAGUCAUGUGUGGAUGUGAGAGUUGGAUUAUAAAGAAAGCUGAGCGCCAAAGAAUUGAUGCUUUUGAACUGUGUUGUUGGAGAAGACUCUUGAGAGUCCCUUGGCCCGCAAGGAGAUCCAACCAGUCCAUCCUAAAGGAAAUCAGUCCUAAAUAUUAAUUGGAAGGACUAUGCUGAAGCUGAAACUCCAAUACUUUGGCCACCUGAUGGAAAGAACUGACUCAUUGGAAAAGACCCUGACAAAAAAAAAAAAAAAGACCCUGACGCUGGGAAAGAUUGAAGGGGGGAGAAGGGGACGACAGAGGAUGAGAUGGUUGGAUGGCAUCACUGACUGGAUGGAAAUGAGUUUGAGUAACCUCUGGGAGUUGGUGAUGGACAGGGAAGCCUGAUGUGCUGCAGUCCAUGGGGUUGUAAAGAGUUGGACACGAUUGAGUGACUGAACUGAACUAGGCAAGGUUCUAUGCUUAGCUGCUGAGAAGAUAUUAAAAUGAGAAAACUGGCAAGUCUAGAAAAAACACAGGUAGAAGGAUUUAAGUUUUGACAAAUCACCUAUGCAUGCAUCCCCACAUACUAUAGAGACACACCCAAGUAUAAAGUCCUAUCUUUCCCGGUCCCAGUCAACCUUUCUUGCCUCUGCUGUGAUACAUCACAUUCUAGACUUUUUUCAGGAUCAAGACUUUGUUUUUGCAAGCUUCUCUGAUUUCCUUUUUCUGAAUUCCUACCACACUAAAGUCUGGAGUUGACAACAGAGCACUUCAUUACAUCUUGCGUGAUUUUUCAGCUGUAGGACACUGCUGCAGGAAGUGAAAAGCUUCCGGAGUUGAUAGGAUGUAGUAUUUUUCUUCAAAUACCUUAAGGCAAAAUAUGAGCCUGAUAUUUUCCUUAAGGGAAAUGACUGAUUUUAUAUAAUCUGCAUUCUGAAAACACAUGAAUCCUCAAAUAACAGAAACACUACACAUGUAAAUUUUAAUAAGAUAACCAAAAUGCAGUAUGAAAGAAACUUUUUAAAAAUAAAGACUUGAGAAUUUUAUUUUGUAUCAUUUUGAGAGAAAAUCAAGCAAAACUAGGGGAGAAAGGAGGUUUCUGCCAGAUGCCACAGCAUUCCUAGACAGUUUCACGAAAAGUACACCUAUAUCUAAAUUCCUUUUUUAAAGGAAAUAGAAUCCAUUCAGGUAAUAUGUUGUAUGCUUUUUCUUUUUAUGAAAAAAUUUAACAAGAUAUAUUCAUACUUAAGAUUAAAUAUAUUCUUUUCUUUCUCUUUCUUUCUAUCUAAACUCUAUCAGUAAGUUUCCCUCGAGAAGUUCCAUGAAGCUUGCUGGACAAAUCCAUCCCAGAGGGAUCUCUUCUUUUCAGACCACUGCUGCUGUCAUUACCUAUUUUGUACUAAGAGUUAAUUCUGAGGAACCUUCUGACUCAUCUUAUUAAGACUUAUGUCCUAGGAGUGGGCCUGGUAAGACCUUUCUAUUGUUAGCAACCAGUUGAAAAAGUAUAUAAGGUCUUGAUAAGACUGAGUGGGACACUCUCUGCCUCCUUCUGAUGUCUGUGUCAGAAGCUUUCUCUGUCCCUUUUUCACUGUAAUAAACUCUGCUACACAAAAGCUCUGAGUGAUCAAGCCUUGUCUCUGGUUCCGAAGCUAAAUUUUCUUCUUCAGAGAUCACGAAUCUGACACGGUUCAGUGUAAGCUAUCAGUGUCACGACUUUAACUGGUUACGUUCAGUGGCUGCUUCACUGACCUCAGUCUCCAUCUUCUGUAACUGCUUCAAGGUUGUGUACACCUCACACACUUUGAGUUUGAGGGACAGGACUGUGAUAUAUAUCCUUCACAAUCCCCGCUGCUGCCCAACCCCAAACUUUCAAAUUCUGGUUAAACUGCACUUUACAACCAGCUGACUGUACAAUACGCUGUUGUACAACCUGUUGUUGUUUAUAACAGCUGAAGUUAAUUAUCUCUUAUACUGAUUACCGAUUUUCAAAGAAAAUCAUCACAAGAAACCUAUCUGAGCACGAUUUAAUCCUUCUAGAAUAAUAGUUCUUACUGUGCCUUGGGAUCAUCAUGUGAACAAUUACCAAAGGUAGCCAAUAGUAAAUUCCAAGUGACAUGAUAUAGUAAAAAUAGUGAUAAUUUCUUUCACUCCCAGGUGGUUUUCUUCAGCCUGACUCUUGGCCCACUAGCAUUGCAUUUAUGUACCCACUACCCUCUAGAUAAUUCCAGGAUGACUAGAAUCCUUCAAAACACCACAUAGAUUUAUCUUUCCUAGUCUCCUCAUCCUUUCCCACCCAGGGCCCUCAAUCAAAUGCCUACAACUUUUUUCUGUCUUCUCUCAGUCUUUCAAGGGGACUCAUCUGUUAAUUGGUAGUAAUUAUGGCUGACUGUGGCUUAUGAGAGUAAUUCUGAAGUCAUCCCUCCCAUGGUGAGUUGUAUUUUCACCAAGGUUUCUUGCAGACACAGUGAUUAAACACAAAAGGAAGUGAUCCCUGAAGUAGGGAACUUCAGGUACCACACCUGUGUGGGGUACAAGGGCUGUGAGGCAGACUUUAGAACAAAACUACAAAAGUGUGUUAUGGAGAUGCUUGAUAAGGAAAAAAAAGAGGCUAUCAAUAUUCCUAUUUUGGAAAACGUUUUAGGAAGGCACUCUACUGAGAAUUCACCUCAGAAUGUGUUCCAAUCUCUUCUGUCUGAACUUGAGAACUACCAAAGUGCCUGCAAACAAUCAGGUGUGAGAAAUGCCUAAUGUGCAUAAGCUGCAAAGAACACUGGUUUUACCACUGGUACCUAUUAUAGUGACAACUAAGAAUGCUUAAAGGAUACCCAUGUUGACCCAUCCUUGUAUUCCAGCAAUGUCAGUCCCUGGGGGAUAUAGCUAUGGUCCAACCCACCUGGGAUUACUGCUGUCCUUUGUGGAGAUUCUGUUCUGACAGAUGCUCCUGAUCAUUUCAGCAGCACUUACUCUUGGACUUCAGUACACUGCUUGUACAACACUCUGCUGGUGACAAACACCACUGAUGCCCUCUUACAAAAACCUCUCUAAUUUUUUAAUGUAACAACAUUUUCCUAUAAGGCUUAUACUUCUUUUACGCACAAGUCUUUUAAAAUCAUAUGCAACAUACAAUUGCCAGGUUCCACCUUGAUGAUAGUGUAGCACUGUCUCCGUACACGCUGGGCCAGACACUAAGCUCAGUGAUGAGUCUACUUCAGAGUUGUGAGCAGGAAAAGGUACUUAGAGGCAACUCUCUGGCGGCCCAGUGUUAGGACUCCAUUCUCUCAUUGCCGAGUGUCCUGGUAGGGGAACUAAAAGUCCCACAAGUGUGCGGUGAAGCCAAAAGAAAAAGAUACUCAGCAUAGACCUUUUGAAUCUGACGGCUCUGUAAAACAUGGCACCACUGGUUUUCUGCCUUUGCAACCGGGAAUGGUCCUCACUGUGUUGUUCUUACUCCUUGUCUGGUUUUAGCAGGGUAUAUGCAGAAUCCCUUUUUCUCUGGGGCAGCAUCUCUUAUUUCUCCACCAUGUGAAAGUGGUGAGCCAAGACCCCUACAAAGUUUUUAAGCCCUCAAAGCUUAUCAUUUCACUGACAGGAAUAGUCCAAAUAAUCUGGUCAAUUAAGUCAACUUUUAUUUUAGCAUCAGUAUUAUAAAACAUAUAAAAUAUGCUACAAUUUGAGAACACAAAUUCUAAGAACAGAGCACUGGAUUCAGACAAAUAAUUCUUCAGUAAUCAUUAAACACUUGAUAAACACAGGGACAGUGGG